UGAUAAUGAACGUCAUACUGAACUCCGAAUUAUACACAAGAAACUAAAAUUAAAAUAUCAUACAAAAAUAACAAAGGCCAGAGGCUCCUGACUUGGGGCAGGCGCAAGAAUGCGGCGGGGUUAAACGUGUUUUUUGAGAUAUCAACCCUCCCCUAUACAUCGAGCCAAUGUAGAAAACCAAACACACAACAAUACACACAGUAACACUCAGUGUAAGAGAAGUUCGAAUCUGAUGUCAGAAUAGGUAACAAAAGAAACCAAACAAAAUAACAAAAAUGACAAUAAAACAUAAAUUAACAAAGCCUACUAGCAAUUACUGCCAGCUCCAGAUUUCAAUUAAACUGAUUGAAAGAUUAUGUCUUCAUCAUAUGAAUAUCAAGC
rnacentral:lncRNA from 1 species